GGGCUUGGCAUCCUUCCAGAGCCCUGAUACGAUAGGAUAGAAAGGUGAUGAAGAUGAGGACACCUGCCCCUUCUGCUCCAGCUGCAGCAGAUGUGAAGGCCUGCAGUCCUUCCAGAACAGGACCUGAGGCAGGAGAGUCGCCACAGAGCUACAUGUGGAGCACGGCUGGCAGCACAGGAGGGGAUGCACUGAGGAAUAUAUAAUGCACCAGAGAAAAUAUUUGGCACUGAAGACUUCUUUUCUUUUUAAUUUGGCUAAUCAUCCUGUGCUGUGUGGCUGGCAGAGGGGUGAGGGAGGCAGGGAGAGAAAUGAGG
rnacentral:lncRNA from 12 species